GUAUGUGGUUGGGGCACAGGAUAAAGCUGGGGUUAAAAGGGUUGAUCUUCUCAAAAAUCAGAAAGUCUGAAAAAGUGGAUGUCACCAUACACCCCGAGGAGUUCGAAGUUAUGGACGAUGUUCUGGCAGCCAAGUACGAAGAAGCCCGGGAGGAGGAGAAGCUACGGAACCAGAAGCAAACACCAACCCAAUGGACCUGAACCCUUUUUCCCUCUCCGAUUUGCAGAACGCGAGCAAGAGGAAGAGGAAGCACAAGGGCGUGAAAUCUUCCAAAAAGGACUAAAAGUUCUACAUGGAGCAGCAGCCACCAUUUUGUGCAACUGAAGCCACCUGGGCUCAGGCCAUGGCCACUGUGCCGUGUUUCCAAACUCACCGAGACCGCCACCGCCUCUGUUUGCUCUGCCAUGAUUAAGUCCCUGUUUGGAACCUCUCCAGUCCCG
rnacentral:rRNA from 1 species